rnacentral:rRNA from 1 species
GACGUAGGGCGCGAGCGUUGUCCGGAUUUAUUGGGCGUAAAGAGCUCGUAGGCGGCUUGUCGCGUCGUUCGUGAAAACCCACAGCUCAACUGUGGGCUUGCGGGCGAUACGGGCAGGCUAGAGUUCGGUAGGGGAGACUGGAAUUCCUGGUGUAGCGGUGAAAUGCGCAGAUAUCAGGAGGAACACCGGUGGCGAAGGCGGGUCUCUGGGCCGAUACUGACGCUGAGGAGCGAAAGCGUGGGGAGCGAACAGG